UGUAUAGUUCCUGCGGGGGUGUAGACUAGGUGGGAGAGCAAUCGAUUCUGAAAAACCACUACCCUGUUUGGAAUUAUGCUUACCUAUCACAAGGAAUAGGACUAGAUAGAAAGUUUGGCUGGGGCGGCACACCUUCGAAAGAGCAGCGAAGGUGUCCUAAGUUGAGCUCAGUGAGGACAGAAAUCUCACGUUGAGGAUAAGGCCAAAAGCUCAAUUUACUGUGCCUUUUUGUACUAGGAUCAGUUACGAAAGUAAGGCCUAACGAUCCCUAAAUAGCCUCAGGUGCGUGAGGAUUGGGGUGACAGACAAGUUACCUCCGGGACAACUGGCUUGUGGCUGCUAAGAGAUCAAAUCAACGCAGCUUUUUGAUUCUUCGAUGUCGGCUCUUCCUAUCCUAGUGAUGUACAAGUUGCUAAGGGUCGGAUUGUUCACCCGUAUUAGGGAUCGUGAGCUGGGUUUAGACCGUCGUGAGCCAGGUUUGUUUUAUCCUACUGGAUAUAGCAUCAUGAUAGUAGAUUGAUUUAGUACGAGAGGAACUGUUGAUUAUGGCCUCUGGUUAGCGAUUAUCGGAAACGGUAUGUCGCGCAGCUACGCCGUCUGGGAUAAUGGCUGAAAGCCUCUUAAGCCAGAAGCCCAUCUAGAAAGUGAUGCACGUGAUGUUGGACCGAUACGAAUAAUCAUACUCAAAAGGUCCGCUUCAUAGGUAACCCAAUGUAGAAGACAUUGUGUGAACGAAGGUACUGUAAGCAGUGGAGUGGCAUUACGUCCACGACCUGUUGAGGUUCAGCUUCGCUUCUAGGUUUCC
rnacentral:ncRNA from 1 species